UCUUCGAUUCGACCCACUACGUGGGGCGAUAUUACAAACUGUCUCCAUUGUUGAGCGAUUCUUGUAGCCCAAGAGAAGUCCGGUUUGGUUCUCAAGUCUAUUGCAGGGCUGACAUAAUACAGUAGAAAUGUUGCAUAUAAUGCGAAGGCAAACUGGAGACAUGAUUCCGAAAGAUACCCAUCUUCUUCUCAACGCAACUUCGGAACAAUCGCAACCCUGUAGCAAAACCGCAUAUCAGAUACGUCCUUUUCAUAUGAUACUGAAAAGACUGAUCAUCCAGACCGAGCUGAAAGUAAUUUUCUUACCUUAAAACUCCCAAAUAUUGAUAUGUCGAAUUCUGGACAAAAACUAUCUUCCACCUGAGAAACCUGAGAAACCUGUGAACGGAUACUGGAAUGAGAAAGGGUUGUCAAGAAAGUUGAGAUAUGAAUAAGAACAGGAACUGGGAGACUAAAAAAAGGAAGAAGCUUUUGGGUUAGUGUAUAAAAUAGGAAAGAAAGUGUGUUUGUACAUGAAAAACGCACUCAAUGUCACAUGGAUAAUGUUAGGAGUUUUUAUUACAAACCGUGUCAAAAAACGUCUUACCCUCGCUGCUUUUUGUCUUGCAAUGUUAAACCCUCAAGGAACCACUUACAAAGCCCCGGAUUUAAAGCCUUGUUUUGUGCACUUCUAGACUUUCUCUCCUUCUACAAUCUACUCUCUCUCUUGAAAGUAAUUUAUAGAAGAUUUUUAUAAGUGUAACAUUGUUUUUAAACUUCUGUUCGGGCUCUAUGCCAGUUGAACAAAGAUUCAAGGACACGUGCCUUGUACCACUUGUCACAAUCGCAAUUUUUUUGGCAACAGACUUUGCGAUUGUGCGGCACUCACUCUCAACACCAAGUGAGUGAAGCCAAUUUGUAUUCGCGUUGUCUACGACCGAGCA